ACGUAACCUAAAGCUAACAGACGGGGAAGCCAUCACCAGGGUUUGGGUUGGAUUCCCUACCAGUAAAAUGAGGUAAUGAUGUGAAAUUGGUCACGUUGUUGAAGAGUUGAAAUGAGAGAUUGGGCAUCAGUAUCCAGCUUAGGUUCCGGCCUGUGGAAGGAGAGAUUGUGGAAAAGCAUAACAACGAAGAGGGAUGGUAUUGCUCCUGUAACUCGGAACUGGAGAGGAGGCAAGAUGCUGGCAUAGCUGUUGAACUGAGAACCUGCUAUGCCAACAUAUUGCCAUCUUUCCUGUCUGACAGCAGCUUGGCUACCUCCGUCCUGUUCCUCCUUGUCUUGCUACAAGCCAUCCAUGAUAUGUAGGGCCCUGUGACUUGGUCUGUCUCGCCCUGACUUCUCUCCAGUCCUAUACCGAAUCACUCGCUCUGUUCUAGCCACACUGGCCUUUUGGGGAUGUUCUUGGCUGCACCAGGAAUAUUCCCGCCUCUACUGCCCUGUCUUAUCUUUUGGGCAUCAGUGGAGAACUCUUUCACCAUGGCACUGUCUAUAAAACCUUACAUGUGCCCAGCCACCGUUCACCUCAUGACCCUGCUCUGACUUGUCAGAAUCAUUGGGCACUACCUGUCCAUGUUCAUUUGCUUAGUUGCUGCUUGAUUUACUGUACCAGGUUGUAAGUCCUUUAAGGGACACCCGUCUUCAUUUCUGUUCACCAUACCCCUAAACCCUGACGUUUGCAAGUCCUCAAGUCAUGUCUUUGCGACUCUACCCUGGACUUAUUGUGCAACAGAAGUGUCAAAUAAUGAGAUUUUAAUCAUGCCAUGAAUGGCUGUGAUGAAACACUGGUUUAUAAGUAACAAAGAAUAAACAAAUGCUACUGAUUUCUAAGCCUGCAAACCCAACAUCUUAAAGGAGCCACAAUAAAGUUACCAUCAGGUCUACAACUCAGAGAAGACAAAAUAUUGUAUGGAAAAGAGAUUAUAUUCAAAAUAAAAGUUACUUUUGCGGUUUCA
rnacentral:lncRNA from 1 species